CACACCGCCCGUCGCUACUACCGAUUGAAUGGCUCAGUGAGGCCUUCGGACUGGCUUGGGGAGGUUGGCAACGACCACCCUAAGCCGGAAAGUUCGUCAAACUCGGUCAUUUAGAGGAAGUAAAAGUCGUAACAAGGUUUCCGUAGGUGAACCUGCGGAAGGAUCAUUACAAUUCAGUAGCUUGCUACUGUCGGGAGGCGCCGUAAGCCCGCAUAGUUUAAUUACUGAUGAGCGGCAGGCCCUCUGUCUGGACCCUUGUCUUUUGCGCACUCAUGUUUCCUCGGCGGGCUUGCCCGCCGGUUGGACAAAAGCAUAACCUUUUUAAUUUUCAAUCAGCGUCUGAAAAAACAUAAUAAUUACAACUUUCAACAACGGAUCUCUUGGUUCUGGCAUCGAUGAAGAACGCAGCGAAAUGCGAUAAGUAGUGUGAAUUGCAGAAUUCAGUGAAUCAUCGAAUCUUUGAACGCACAUUGCGCCCCUUGGUAUUCCAUGGGGCAUGCCUGUUCGAGCGUCAUUUGUACCCUCAAGCUCUGCUUGGUGUUGGGUGUUUGUCCUCUCCUCUGCGUUUGGACUCGCCUUAAAGCAAUUGGCAGCCAGUGUUUUGGUAUUGAAGCGCAGCACAUUUUGCGAUUCUAGCCGAUCACACUGGCGUCCAUAAGCCUUUUUUUAACUUUUGACCUCGGAUCAGGUAGGGAUACCCGCUGAACUUAAGCAUAUCAAUAAGCGGAGGAAAAGAAACCAACAGGGAUUGCCCUAGUAACGGCGAGUGAAGCGGCAACAGCUCAAAUUUGAAAUCUGGCCCUUUUAGGGUCCGAGUUGUAAUUUGCAGAGGGCGCUUUGGCGUUGGCAGCGGUCCAAGUUCUUUGGAACAGGACGUCACAGAGGGUGAGAAUCCCGUACGUGGUCGCUAGCCUUCGCCGUGUAAAGCCCCUUCGACGAGUCGAGUUGUUUGGGAAUGCAGCUCUAAAUGGGAGGUAAAUUUCUUCUAAAGCUAAAUACUGGCCAGAGACCGAUAGCGCACAAGUAGAGUGAUCGAAAGAUGAAAAGCACUUUGGAAAGAGAGUCAAAUAGCACGUGAAAUUGUUGAAAGGGAAGCGCUUGCAGCCAGACUUGCCUGUAGUUGCUUAUCCGGACUUUUGUCCGGUGCACUCUUCUGCGGGCAGGCCAGCAUCAGUUUAGGCGGUUGGAUAAAGGUCUCUAUCACGUACCUCCCUUCGGGGUUGGCCUUAUAGGGGAGACGACAUGCAACCAGCCUGAACUGAGGUCCGCGCAUCUGCUAGGAUGCUGGCGUAAUGGCUGUAAGCGGCCCGUCUUGAAACACGGACCAAGGAGUCUAACAUCUAUGCGAGUGUUUGGGUGUCAAGCCCAGACGCGUAAUGAAAGUGAACGGAGGUGGGAACCUUUUAGGUGCACCAUCGACCGAUCCUGAUGUCUUCGGAUGGAUUUGAGUAAGAGCAUGGCUGUUGGGACCCGAAAGAUGGUGAACUAUGCUUGAAUAGGGUGAAGCCAGAGGAAACUCUGGUGGAGGCUCGCAGCGGUUCUGACGUGCAAAUCGAUCGUCAAAUUUGGGCAUAGGGGCGAAAGACUAAUCGA
rnacentral:rRNA from 1 species